rnacentral:rRNA from 1 species
GACGAACGCUGGCGGCGUGCCUAAUACAUGCAAGUAGAACGCUGAAGGAGGAGCUUGCUUCUCUGGAUGAGUUGCGAACGGGUGAGUAACGCGUAGGUAACCUGCCUGGUAGCGGGGGAUAACUAUUGGAAACGAUAGCUAAUACCGCAUAAUAGUAGAUGUUGCAUGACAUUUACUUAAAAGGUGCAAUUGCAUCACUACCAGAUGGACCUGCGUUGUAUUAGCUAGUUGGUGGGGUAACGGCUCACCAAGGCGACGAUACAUAGCCGACCUGAGAGGGUGAUCGGCCACACUGGGACUGAGACACGGCCCAGACUCCUACGGGAGGCAGCAGUAGGGAAUCUUAGGCAAUGGACGAAAGUCUGACCGAGCAACGCCGCGUGAGUGAAGAAGGUUUUCGGAUCGUAAAGCUCUGUUGUAAGAGAAGAACGAGUGUGAGAGUGGAAAGUUCACACUGUGACGGUAUCUUACCAGAAAGGGACGGCUAACUACGUG